rnacentral:rRNA from 1 species
AACUGUCUCAAGACCCUAAAUUUAAAAUAGAAUGUGUGUGUAAAUCCACACUAAAACGGCAAGACGAUUAGACCCUAAGAACUUUACCCAAAGCUUUAAACAUAAAAAAGCUCUAAGUUUCGUUGGGGCAACGAUCUUUAAAAAAGUAACUAAGAAUAACGAAUCACACAACAUAAAAGAAAAUAAUAAUUUUAAAAAGAUAAUACCCAUUAACAAAAAAAUUAAUGAAAAAAAAUAAAAGUUCCUUAGGGAUAACAGCGUCAUAUCGUUCUUUAGAAAAUACCCAAACGAUGUUUGCGACCUCGAUGUUGAAUUGCUAUACCCCAAGAUGUAACCACACUUAAAGGUUGGACUGUCCUUCCAUUAAAAUAGCACGUGAUCUGGUUUCCAAACCGG